AUACGGAGGAUGCGAGCGUUAUCCGGAUUUAUUGGGUUUAAAGGGUGCGUAGGCGGACGAUUAAGUCAGCUGUGAAAUGCCCGCGCUUAACGCGGGAAGUGCAGUUGAUACUGCUUUUCUGGAGUUCGGAUGCCGUGGGAGGAAUGGGCAGUGUAGCGGUGAAAUGCAUAGAUAUUGCCCAGAACACCGAUUGCGAAGGCAUCUCACGAAUCCGAGACUGACGCUGAGGCACGAAAGCGUGGGGAUCAAACAGGAUUAGAUACCCUGGUAGUCCACGCAGUAAACGAUGAUAACUAACCGUCGGCGAUAGAAUGUCGGUGGCCAAGCGAAAGCGAUGAGUUAUCCACCUGGGGAGUACGUUCGCAAGAAUGAAACUCAAAUGAAUUGGCGGGG
rnacentral:rRNA from 1 species